GACGAACGCUGGCGGCGUGCUUAACACAUGCAAGUCGAACGGAAAGGCCCUGCUUUUGUGGGGUGCUCGAGUGGCGAACGGGUGAGUAACACGUGAGUAACCUGCCCUUGACUUUGGGAUAACUUCAGGAAACUGGGGCUAAUACCGGAUAGGAGCUCCUGCUGCAUGGUGGGGGUUGGAAAGUUUCGGCGGUUGGGGAUGGACUCGCGGCUUAUCAGCUUGUUGGUGGGGUAGUGGCUUACCAAGGCUUUGACGGGUAGCCGGCCUGAGAGGGUGACCGGCCACCUUUGGGACUGAGAUACGGCCCAGACUCCUACGGGAGGCAGCAGUGGGGAAUAUUGCACAAUGGGCGGAAGCCUGAUGCAGCAACGCCGCGUGCGGGAUGACGGCCUUCGGGUUGUAAACCGCUUUCGCCUGUGACGAAGCGUGAGUGACGGUAAUGGGUAAAGAAGCACCGGCUAACUACGUG
rnacentral:rRNA from 1 species